rnacentral:rRNA from 1 species
GAUGAACGCUGGCGGCGUGCCUAAUACAUGCAAGUCGAGCGAACAGACGAGGAGCUUGCGCCUCUGACGAUAGCGGAGGACGGGUGAGUAACACGUGGAUAACCUACCUAUAAGACUGGGAUAACCUCGGGAAACCGGAGAUAAUACCGGACAAUAUAUUGAACCGCAGGGAUCAAUAGGGAAAGACGGCGUUGCGGGCUCGGAUAGAGGGAUACUCGCCGUAUUAGCUGGUUGGGAAGGUAACGGCUUACGACGGCAACGAGGCGUGGCCGAACUACGGGGGUGAUCGCCCACACUGGAGCUGAGACACGCUCCAUGCGCCUACGGGACGCAGCAGUCUGCUACGUUCCGCAGAGGGCGAAAGCCUUACGGAGCGACGCCGCGCGUGUUAUGGAGGUCUUCGGUUCGUAAUGCUCUGUUAUGGGUUAUGAACAACUGUGUACGUAGCUAUAGACGUCUUGACGGUACCUGCUCAAAAAGCCCCGGCUAACUACGUG